rnacentral:rRNA from 1 species
CACGUAUUUAGCCGUCACUUCUUCUGUUGGUACCGUCAUUUUUCUUCCCAACUGAAAGCACUUUACAUUCCGAAAACUUCAUCGUGCACACAGAAUUGCUGGAUCAGACUCUUGGUCCAUUGUCCAAUAUUCCCCACUGCUGCCUCCCGUAGGAGUAAGGGCCGUGUCUCAGUCCCCUUGUGGCCGUUUACCCUCUCAGGCCGGCUACCCAUCAUCGCCUUGGUGAGCCGUUACCUCUCCAACUAGCUAAUGGGACGCAAAGCUCUCUCACAGCGCAUAUAGCUUUCAUAAUUCUAGGAUGCCCUAAAAUCAUAAUAUCAGGUAUUAGCAUUCGUUUCCAAAUGUUGUCCCUAACUGUGAGGCAAGUUCUUUACGCGUUACUCACCCGUCCGCCACCCAAACCGAAGUUCAAGUUGACUUGCAUGUGUUAAGCAUUCUGUCAGCGUUCAUCCUGAGCCAGGAUCAAACUCU